GAAGUUUCACUAUUUACUAACAUCAUUUCAUUCAUUGACUGUUGAUUAUAGUGUUGGCAAAGACAUGGACUGGUGCCCUGUAUUUUAGCUAGUUAUUUCUUGCUCUUCAAUUGCAUUAGGAGUCAUUUGUAUGUAUUGGAACUAGGAAAGUGGUGGUUGCAAAUUCCUUGUCCUAAUGUCUAGUUAUAGAGUAUCUGUACCUUUAGGAAGUAAAUUACUGAUUUCUUCAUGUUUAUUGAAUGACCGAUGAUGAUGUCGCAUUUAUGAAUAGUGGAUGUUAAUGUAUGAGAUAUGAUUUUGAUCAGUAUUUACGAUUUUCAACUGGCAAUAUUUCCUUUUUCCAUUUUUACCUCAUGUCAUAUAGCUUAUCAUCUAUGUUGGUGAAGUAUUACUACUUAAUCUGGUUGGUCCUAAUUGUGAAUUGGUAUUUUAUGUUGUUUGUACAUUUUUGGGAAUCUUUCAUCGAAGUAUAAAAAUUCCGAUGUAUAUAUAGAAUCAUCAUUGGCUGAACUUAAGAGGAGUUGGAACCAGAAAGUUUCAAAUGUUGGUUCAAGAGCAAUGUUAUGAACUAUUAGGUCCUGUGUAAGAGCUGUUAUCAAAAUUGAAGCACUGCAGCUCACU
rnacentral:misc_RNA from 1 species